AUUGAACGCUGGCGGCAGGCCUAACACAUGCAAGUCGAGCGGUUGAAGGGAGCUUGCUCCCUGAUUCAGCGGCGGACGGGUGAGUAAUGCCUAGGAAUCUGCCUAUUAGUGGGGGACAACGUUUCGAAAGGAACGCUAAUACCGCAUACGUCCUACGGGAGAAAGCAGGGGACCUUCGGGCCUUGCGCUAAUAGAUGAGCCUAGGUCGGAUUAGCUUGUUGGUGAGGUAAUGGCGCACCAAGGCGACGAUCAGUAACGGGUUUGAGAGGUUGAUAGGUCACACUGGAACUGAGACACGGCCCAGACUCCUACGGGAGGGAGCAGUGGGGAAUAUUAGACAAUGGGCGAAAGCCUGAUCCAGCCAUGCCGCGUGUGUGAAGAAGGUCUUCGGAUUGUAAAGCACUUUAAGUUGGGAGGAAGGGUUGUAGAUUAAUACUCUGCAAUUUUGACGUUACCGACAGAAUAAGCACCAGCUAACUCUGUGCCAGCAGCCGCGGUAA
rnacentral:rRNA from 1 species